rnacentral:rRNA from 1 species
AGUGAACGCUGGCGGUAGGCCAAACACAUGCAAGUCGAACGGCAGCACAGGAGAGCUUGCUCUCUGGGUGGCGAGUGGCGGACGGGUGAGGAAUACAUCGGAAUCUACUCUGUCGUGGGGGAUAACGUAGGGAAACUUACGCUAAUACCGCAUACGACCUACGGGUGAAAGCAGGGGACCUUCGGGCCUUGCGCGAUUGAAUGAGCCGAUGUCGGAUUAGCUAGGUGGCGGGGUAAAGGCCCACCAAGGCGACGAUCCGUAGCUGGUCUGAGGGGAUGAUCAGCCACACUGGAACUGAGACACGGUCCAGACUCCUACGGGAGGCAGCAGUGGGGAAUAUUGGACAAUGGGCGCAAGCCUGAUCCAGCCAUACCGCGUGGGUGAAGAAGGCCUUCGGGUUGUAAAGCCCUUUUGUUGGGAAAGAAAUCCAGCUGGCUAAUACCCGGUUGGGAUGACGGUACCCAAAGAAUAAGCACCGGCUAACUUCGUGCCAGCCGCCGCAGUAA